AUUGAACGCUGGCGGCAUGCUUUACACAUGCAAGUCGAACGGUAACAGGUUAAGCUGACGAGUGGCGAACGGGUGAGUAAUGCAUCGGAACGUGCCCGAUCGUGGGGGAUAACGCAGCGAAAGCUGCGCUUAUACCGCAUACGAUCUGAGGAUGAAAGCGGGGGACCGUAAGGCCUCGCGCGAUCGGAGCGGCCGAUGUCAGAUUAGGUAGUUGGUGGGGUAAAGGCUCACCAAGCCAACGACCUGUAGCUGGUCUGAGAGGACGACCAGCCACAAUGGGAAUGAGACACGGCCCAGACUCCUACUGGAGGCAGCAGUGGGGAAUUUUGGACAAUGGGCGAAAGCCUGAUCCAGCAAUGCCGCGUGCAGGAAGAAGGCCUUCGGGUUGUAAACUGCUUUUGUACGGAGCGAAAAGGUCCCCUCUAAUACAGGGGGCUCAUGACGGUACCGUAAGAAUAAGCACCGGCUAACUACGUGCCAGCAGCCGCAGUAA
rnacentral:rRNA from 1 species